UACGGGGGGGGCAAGCGUUGUUCGGAAUUACUGGGCGUAAAGGGCUCGUAGGCGGCCAACUAAGUCAGACGUGAAAUCCCUCGGCUUAACCGGGGAACUGCGUCUGAUACUGGUUGGCUUGAAUCCGGGAGAGGGAUGUGGAAUUCCAGGUGUAGCGGUGAAAUGCGUAGAUAUCUGGAGGAACACCGGUGGCGAAGGCGGCAUCCUGGACCGGUAUU
rnacentral:rRNA from 1 species